rnacentral:rRNA from 1 species
UGCGUAGGCGGCGCGGUAAGUCGGGUGUGAAAUCUUGGAGCUUAACUCCGAAACUGCAUUCGAUACUGCCGUGCUUGAGGACUGGAGAGGAGACUGGAAUUUACGGUGUAGCAGUGAAAUGCGUAGAGAUCGUAAGGAAGACCAGUGGCGAAGGCGGGUCUCUGGACAGUUCCUGACACUGAGGCACGAAGGCCAGGGGAGCAAACG